rnacentral:lncRNA from 1 species
GGCUUUCGGAGCUUGAGAUUCAUUGAUUCACCUACACACCUUCAUUGAGACAUCCAUCAAACACUUACCGUGCCUCAUCUUCAUCCAUCUAUCCGCUGCCUUCUCUGGUUUUGGAAGUGUUCGUUAUUAAAUUGCAAGGAUGCUUCCAUCAUUUGGCAUCAAGAGCCAGUCGUUCCAAUCACGCUUCAAGAGCUAAGUGUCUCGUUUCCAUUUCCUCUGUUUUUCCGUCUUGUACUGUUCUUUGCACUGUUGAAUUGCUUUUGUGUUUUGAUUCUUUCUGUUUGAGUGAAUUUUGUUUCGUUCACUGUUCC